CUGUUUCUACUGACAAUAGGCAUUUUUGCUUACUAUUGACAGUUUGCAUAUGUGUUUCCACAUGUGCUUUCCUGAUUUUUCAGAUUAAUUCUAUCAAUGGCUCAAAAUCCUGCUGUGGUUCUCCUGAACUAUUCUGUUUUCCCUGAGGACUCUGGUUCCUUCCUGUAUGGUCUGCUGUCUUUUGCUGUUUUACCUCGUUGCAUUGUAUGUCUGAAAGCUCCUGAAGAAACU